UUGAAAUGGGCUAUUCCAUUUAAUAUCCGUACCCCCCCUGUCGAGGAUCCCUGGAAUUCUUCAGGGGUAAAGGGUUUUGAGCUUGGAAUUCUUCAGGGGUAAAGUGUUUUGAGCUUGGAAUUCUUCAGGGGUAAAGUGUUUUGAGUUUGGAAUUCUUCAGGGGUAAAUGGUUUUGAGCUUGGAAUUCUUCAGGGGUGAAGGGUUUUAAGCUUGGAAUUCUUCAGGGGUAAAGAGGUUUGAGAUUGAAAUUUUUCAGAGCUUGGAAUUCUUCAGGGGUGAAGGGUUUUGAGCUUGGAAUUCUUCAGGGGUAAAAGGUUUUGAGCUUGAAAUUCUUCAGGGGUAAAGGGCUUUGAGCCUGGAAUUCUUUAGGGGUGAAGGGUUUUGAGCUUGGAAUUCUUCAGGGGUAAAAGGUUUUGAGCUUGGAAUUCCUCAGGGGUAAAGGGUUUUGAGCUUGGAAUUUUGGAAUUCUUCAGGGGUAAAAGGUUUUGAGCUUGGAAUUCUUCAGGGGUAAAGAGUUUUGAGCUUGGAAUUUUGGAAUUCUUCAGGGGUAAACAGUUUUGAGCUUGGAAUUCUUCAGGGGUAUGACAAUGAAAAACAUGUAUCCUCGACAGGGGGGUACGGAUAUUAAAUGGAAUAGCCCAAUGUAUAUGAUAUUGUGUUGUAG